rnacentral:rRNA from 1 species
AGCAGUAGCCGCGGGAAUACGAGGGGGGCAAGCGUUGUUCGGAAUUAUUGGGCGUAAAGGGUGCGUAGGCGGUUUGGCAAGUUUCGUGUGAAAACUUCGGGCUCAACCCGAAGCCUGCACGGAAAACUGCCGGGCUUGAGUAUGGGAGAGGUGAGUGGAAUUUCCGGUGUAGCGGUGAAAUGCGUAGAGAUGUGGAGGAACACCUGUGGCGAAGGCGACUCUCUGGUCUGUAACUGACGCUGAGGAGCGAAAGCGUGGGGAGCGAACAGGAUUAGAUACCCCUGUAGUCCCUGUCUCUUAUAC